CGACCAAUCAAUGAACCUGAUUUCUCAGUACAAAAGCUGAGAUAAAACCAUAAGACAAGAAGACCCUGUGGAGCUUAAAAUACCAAUACUAACCCCCCUCAACCCACAAGGCUCACACCACCAAAAUAGUAUACAUUUUUAGUUGGGGCGACUACGGAACCAAACAAAACUUCCACGACACAAGACCACCCAUCCCCCCCAGGUCAACAAACCUAUCCCCCAUUUGACCCAGUUAUACUGACCAACGAACCAAGUUACCCCAGGGAUAACAGCGCCAUCCUCUUCAAGAGCCCCUAUCGCCAAGAGGGUUUACGACCUCGAUGUUGGAUCAGGACCCCCAGGUGGUGCAACCGCUACCAA
rnacentral:rRNA from 1 species